GUGAAGGCAACAGGAAUACUCUCGCCCAGUUGACUGCAGACAAUACAGAACGAAAUCCCUAAGCCAAACAAGAAAAACAUUUAUAUACUCAGCAAAGGAGCACCGAAGCAUGCGGAAAACCCCAUUCGUGGCAAAUUUUGUCUCGCCAUGCUGACAUCGGCAGCGAAAUCUGGUUACAUGGAUUGUGAGGCCUAAUAUAGCAUCACUUAACUGAAAGACCACGCCAAAUGUGAACAAAACGGCCAUGAUCUCAUUGGCUAUUAAGUCGAUCCAAAUAACAGACACCACAAAAGCCAAGAAAGAAAACAUCUGGACAGAAUUGGAAAUAUUUAGACAUCAGAUAAUCCUGUAGUUGGGUGAAAAUAGUUGAUUACCCAGUAAAUCUUGGGCUCUCUUUCCCGACUGCUAAAAAUGGCUAGAAGCAGGCCGAGGCUCAGUCCAAUCACAAAAAUCAUUAGAGUUAACAGCGCUUACAUCCGAUGGCCCAAACUAUCCAUGUAGGAGUCAACGCAAGUUGCAAACAGGAUAAAGAGCGACACCAGCCCUGCCGAGGAUGUUCCUUGCUCACCAGUGGAAUUGAGAGCCUGAAUGCCUUAAUUUACCUCAACCAAAGAGAUCGCUCUAGAGUACCACUUCAUUUCUAUCCACUGGUCAAUGGAAAACGGUCGUAAGUUUGUUCUUAAAUCGACAAAUUCCUCUUUCACGUUUGACCAAAUGGAAUCCGUCUGUAUAACUGUACAUAAUUAAAGAAAUUAAUAAAACCUUACGGGUUUUUAAA